UCCCUGGUGGUUUAGUGGCUAGGAUUUGGCACUUUCACCACUGCAGCUCAGGUUUAAUUCCUGGUCAGGAAA